CACCAAGGAGUUUUCAGUUAUAUUCUAAAUACCAAAGAGAGAACUAAUUUUCAGAAGAUUUCUAAUGACUGGAGUGAAAGUAAGGAGUUUGUGGGGAAUCAUGGGUUAACUACAACCCCUCUUUUCAGAGCAUCCCGUUUUACAUAAUGUUUUCUUUUACAGAAUUACUCAUUAUUGAAUGCUUUUUGGAGGUGGGCUGAGAUUUAAAUUUUACAAAAGAAAAGCUGUAAGCUUCUUCAGGACAUUAGAAGAGAUCUGGAUUAUCAGUUGAAGCAUGAACAGUACCAUACCGAGAAUUGAAAACACCUCCCCCAGAGGCACCUCCAGAUUUUAGCGAAAUCUGCUCAACAUUUCCGCGUCCCUAUGAUGGAUCAGAGGCAUUCAGAUCUCUGCAAAGACAUCAGAGGAGGAACACAAAAUGUGUCUGCGUUGAUGUCACUGUGAUGAUUUUCAGUGCACAUGAGCUCUAGGCAGCUUUCAUAUUUCUGCAGGUUGAUGACAAGGAAGAAUAUAUAAGUUGCAGAAAACAGAAACCAACUCCAGCUAGCUAACAUGAAAGGAAUUUAUUGAUGGGACAGUCGGGUCCUGAAAUCUGAGAGUUUAAAUAAUCAGCAUUUGAAUGGGCCAGAUCCAGGCAACUCCAGGGACCUCAGAAAAAGAAAACCAUGGACCUUUUUUCUAGAACACUGACAUCCGUAUUACUCAUUUUGAGUGACCGGCAGUGCCAGAUGGACCAGCUCUGGCCAGGAAGGUAGGGUUGUGUGGUUUACACAUGUUUGCUAGAGGCCCCUCCUCUGUAUCAGGGCCAGCAAGGCAAGGGGAGUAUUGGGAGCUAAGACAUUUUUAAGGCUUUAAUGAGGUGUCAUUGUCAUAUAAUAAACUAUACAUAUUU
rnacentral:lncRNA from 1 species